ACGCCUAACACAUGCAAGUCGAACGAAGUAGCAAUACUUAGUGGCAGACGGGUGAGUAACAUGUAGGUAUCUACCCUUUGGCCUGGAAUAACACGAGGAAACUUGUGCUAAUACCGGAUAAGUCUUUACGGAGAAAGCUUUAUGCACCAUUGGAUGAGCCUGCACUUGAUUAGUUUGUUGGUGGGGUAAUGGCCUACCAAGACUGUGAUCAAUAGCUGAUUUGAGAGGAUGAUCAGCCACAUUGGGACUGAGACACGGCCCAAACUCCUACGGGAGGCAGCAGUGGGGAAUCUUGCACAAUGGAGGAAACUCUGAUGCAGCGAUGCCGCGUGAGUGAAGAAGGCCUUUGGGUUGUAAAGCUCUUUCGUCGGGGAAGAAAAUGACUGUACCCGAAUAAG
rnacentral:rRNA from 1 species